rnacentral:rRNA from 1 species
AUGAACGCUAGCGGCAGGCCUAAUACAUGCAAGUCGAGCGGCAAGUCGAGGAGUAAUCUAAGACCUAGAGCGGCGCACGGGUGCGUAACGCGUAUGCAACCUACCUUAUACUGGGGGAUAGCCCGGAGAAAUCUGGAUUAAUACCCCAUGGCACAUAUUGAUGGCAUCUGAGAUAUGUUAAAGAUUUAUUGGUAUAAGAUGGGCAUGCGUCUGAUUAGCUAGUUGGCGGUGUAACGGACCACCAAGGCGACGAUCAGUAGGGGUUCUGAGAGGAAGGUCCCCCACACUGGCACUGAGAUACGGGCCAGACUCCUACGGGAGGCAGCAGUAGGGAAUAUUGGGCAAUGGUCGGAAGACUGACCCAGCCAUGCCGCGUGCAGGAAGACGGCCCUCUGGGUUGUAAACUGCUUUUAUCUGGGAAGAAAAAGGCCAUGCGUGGCAAAUUGCCGGUACCAGAUGAAUAAGCACCGGCUAACUCCGUG